UACGUAGGGUGCGAGCGUUAAUCGGAAUUACUGGGCGUAAAGCGUGCGCAGGCGGUUCGCCAAGUCAGGUGUGAAAUCCCCGGGCUUAACCUGGGAAUUGCGCUUGAAACUAGCGGGCUUGAGUGUGGCAGAGGGGGGUGGAAUUCCACGUGUAGCAGUGAAAUGCGUAGAGAUGUGGAGGAACACCGAUGGCGAAGGCAGCUCUCUGGGACGGUACUGACGCUGAGACGCGAAAGCGUGGGGAGCGAACAGG
rnacentral:rRNA from 1 species